rnacentral:rRNA from 1 species
GAUGAACGCUAGCGGAAGGCUUAAUACAUGCAAGUCGAGGGGUAAAUGUCUUCGGACAUUGAGACCGGCGCACGGGUGCGUAACGCGUAUGCAACCUACCUUGAACAGGGGGAUAGCCCAGAGAAAUUUGGAUUAAUACCCCAUGGUAUAUUGAGAUGGCAUCAUCUUAUUAUUAAAGUCACAACGGUUCAAGAUGGGCAUGCGUCCCAUUAGUUAGUUGGUAAGGUAACGGCUUACCAAGACAAUGAUGGGUAGGGGUCCUGAGAGGGAGAUCCCCAACACUGGUACUGAGACACGGACCAGACUCCUACGGGAGGCAGCAGUGAGGAACAUUGGUCAAUGGGCGCAAGCCUGAACCAGCCAUGCCGCGUGCAGGAUGACGGUCCUAUGGAUUGUAAACUGCUUUUAUACGGGAAGAAACAGAGGUUCGUGAACCUCCUUGACGGUACCGUAAGAAUAAGGAUCGGCUAACUCCGUGCCAGCCGCCGCGGUAACAC